UGGGGAAUAUUGGACAAUGGGGGGAACCCUGAUCCAGCCAUGCCGCGUGUGUGAAGAAGGCCUUAUGGUUGUAAAGCACUUUAAGCGAGGAGGAGGGUACUGGUAUUAAUACUACCAGGUACUGGACGUUACUCGCAGAAUAAGCACCGGCUAACUCUGUGCCAGCAGCCGCGGUAAUACAGAGGGUGCGAGCGUUAAUCGGAUUUACUGGGCGUAAAGCGUGCGUAGGCGGCUAAUUGAGUCGGAUGUGAAAUCCCCGAGCUUAACUUGGGAAUUGCAUUCGCUACUGGUUAGCUAGAGUGUGGGAGAGGAUGGUAGAAUUCCAGGUGUAGCGGUGAAAUGCGUAGAGAUCUGGAGGAAUACCGAUGGCGAAGGCAGCCAUCUGGCCUAACACUGACGCUGAGGUACGAAAGCAUGGGGAGCAAACAGG
rnacentral:rRNA from 1 species